rnacentral:rRNA from 1 species
GUCUUUAAAAUUAAAAAAUUUGGCGGUAUUUUAAUCUAUUCAGAGGAAUCUGUUUUUUAAUUGAUAAUCCACAAUUUGAGAUACUUUAUAUUUAAAUUUAUAUAUCGUUGUAAUUUGAAAAUUUUUUAAUAUAAUUUUAUCAGAUCAAGGUGUAGUUGAUUAUGAAGUUAAAAUGGGUUACAAUAUAAAUUUUAUUAAAAUUGGAUUUGAAAGUAAGUUUUAAAAUAUGUACAUAUCGCCCGUCGCUUUCAUUUAAAAUGGAAUAAGUCGUAACAAAGUAGAUUUACUGGAAAGUGAAUCUAGAUUCAAAUUAUAGCUAAUUAAGUAUUUUAUUUACAUUAAAAUGAUAGUUGUUAAUUCAAUUUAAUUUGAAUUUAGGUUUUUAUUUGGGUUGUUAAUUUAAAGUUAUAUUAGGAAAAAUUUUAAAUUUUAGUUUUUAAGAGAAAAAAUUUAAUAAUAGAUAAUAGUAUUGUGAGAGAAUAAUAUUAUAUAAUUAUAAGAAAUUUUUAUUUAGUGUACCUUUUGUAUCAGGGUUUAUUAAUUUAAUUCUCGAAUUUAAAAGAGCUAAUUAUUGUGAAAUAAAUAUUUAUAAUGAAAAUUUAGUAAUGAAAUGUUAUUCGUUUUUAAAUAUAUCUAGUUUUUUAAUAAAAAAAUUUAAUUUUGCAAUUAAUUAUUAUUUUAAUAAGGGAUAAGCUUUAAUAUAAAUUAUUAUAAAUUAUUUAAUUAUGUUAAUUUAUAGAAUUAGAAUUUUUUAUUUAUAGAAGGAUGUUAUAAUUAGAUAUUUUAAUUUAUUUAUUAAAAAUAAAAUUUUAAUUAUUAAAAUUUAGUUAUAAUGAUAAAAUUAGUAGAAUUAAUUUAAAGAACUAGGCAAAUAAAUUUUUACCUGUUUAAUAAAAACAUGUCUUUUUGAUAAUAAUUUAAAGUCGUAUCUGCUCAAUGAUUAAAUAGCUGCAGUAAUUUGACUGUACAAAGGUAGCAUAAUCAUUAGUUUCUUAAUUAGAAGCUGGAAUGAAGGAUUUGAUAAGAAAUUUACUGUUUCUAAAAUUUUAUUUUUAAGUUAAAAAGCUUAAAUAUGUUAAAAAGACGAGAAGACCCUAUAGAGUUUUUUUAUUGGGGUGAUAUAAAAAUUAAAAUAACUUUUUAUAUUUAUGAAAAAUUGAUCCUAGAUUAAAAGAGAAAAUUACCUUAGGGAUAACAGCGUAAUUUUUUUUGAGAGUUCAAAUCG